rnacentral:rRNA from 1 species
UACGAAGGGGGCUAGCGUUGUUCGGAUUUACUGGGCGUAAAGCGCGCGUAGGCGGAUUGGUCAGUUAGGGGUGAAAUCCCAGGGCUCAACCCUGGAACUGCCUUUAAUACUGCCAGUCUUGAGUAUGGUAGAGGUGAGUGGAAUUCCGAGUGUAGAGGUGAAAUUCGUAGAUAUUCGGAGGAACACCAGUGGCGAAGGCGGCUCACUGGACCAUUACUGACGCUGAGGUGCGAAAGCGUGGGGAGCAAACAGG